UAUUCUCUCAACCUGAAAGUUUAUAGAUGGUGUGUCAUUUAUAGUAAGUCUCCAGAAUAUUCUCUCAAAUUUCUCUUGUAAUAACUGUCCCAAGCAGUUUAUGAAAUUAUGAAGACAAGAGAUUGAAGUGGAUAAUCCGAGGAGCAAAGGCUUGCGGGGCAGGGGGGAUCCUAAACCAGGGCCCCCUGAAGGAGGCAAAGGCCACUCACAGAGGGUGCAAGGCUUCUGGGAAGUUGCUCGAGAAGUUGAGUCUAUAUGGAGAGUGCUGAAGAGGCCCCACCCAUCCCCAUCGCGAGGACCGCAGCUGCCAAGCCAGCCUGGUGAUGUCUCCUCGCAGGCCUGCUCUGCCGAGAACGCCGUGAGCAGAAUCCCGUUUAAUCUUCUCAACAACCCUUUGUAACCCUGAGAAAAGCCACCAGCCCCAUUUCCCAUCUCUGAAUGAUCUUGUGCAGAUGUGACCCAUAGAAGUUCUUCAAAUCUUUGGAGCCCAGCCACAGAUGUGUUGCAAUCUUAGAAGUUGUGACCACCAGUUUCUGUCACUGAGCCUCGGCCCUCUCGGUGCAGUACUGUGCUCCUGCGCAAGGCAUGCAGGCCUGUGCCCCAGGCUGAAUAGCCCAAAAAGAAAAUCCUGUAACCAGAGGAGUGAAAUUCCUGGUUGGAGUGAAUGAAGCAAAAAGUUUAACCCCUGCCUUGUGAUAGGAUGAACACAUCAGAGCAUUCUGUGAGCCCUGCAUGUCCCUGGGAGUCACCAAAGAGCCUCUGAAACUCUUGAGACCAAGGGCACUUGUUCCCCCGGCUGCUGCUCAUCAAGACUUUUCUCCAGUAUGAAGUAGCCUGAUGACUGACCUAGAGUGCGCUCAUCUCUCAAAGACAGCGUCUCUCUCCUGUGAAUCCCCCAAUGAUGAGAAAGAGCUAAGCAGGCCCAUGUGAUCCUACCCAUUAGCCUCUCUCCAGGGUGACCUAAUGUCCCCGCAGCCACGCUACCCCUAGACGGUCUGCCAUAUUCAUGACACCUGACCAGCAUAAGGCCCAUUUGAGUCCAUUGGUAUUGUCCAAGGAUAGGACUCUGAUGAAGCCACCUCUUCCUCCAUUAUGCUUCCAGGACCCCUCUCUGCUGCAAACUCCCAGAUGUCUGGCUGGUGCCAAGCACUAUUUAAAGACAGUCGUUUGUUUGCAUUCAUCACAUGCAUAUGGUUUUUCUCCAGUGUGACUUCUCUGAUGUUGAAUGAGCUUUGCUUUCUGAAAGCCCUCCCACAUUUUAUCACAUCUGUAGUUUCUGUUGCAUGUGACAUAGCCAGUGCCGUGGGGGGGUGCUGACAGAUGCCUCUCCCCACCCACUCUCUACAAGAUGAGUGUUAUUUCCAAAGGACUGGAGCCCCAAGGAAAUUGCCUGUAUUCACAACAGUCAAAGCUGUUCUCUCCGAUAUGAAACUGUAACACUGAAUAAAUCCGGAAUCCUUACCCAA